CCGGACGCGCGUUCGAAUCCAAACACCCUGGCGCCGGGCCCCGCCCCCGCGACCUCUCAUUGGUUGGCAGGGCAAGGCUGCGCGCAGGCGCACCGCGGCCUCCCCUCCCGCCAUGCACCGCGGCGGCGCUCCCGGAGGGCGGUGGGGGGCACGUCACGGCCCGGGAAGCCGCCGCUCUCAGGCCCUUCAGGCUUUGCCAAGCGAUUUAUGCACGCUGCCAUAAGUUAUUAUAGCAGUGUACUUGCUACUGUAAAAAACAUUAAUCUACUCUUUCAAAAUCCUUUAGAUAAAACCGUAAAGUAACAGAGCCCACCAUGUUUACCAGGGGGGUGUGAUAACACCCACGUCCUCGACAGUUCGGUGCUUCAGGACAUGAAUUGAAAUGGUUUAACGUGACUGCUCCUGUACAAAACUGAAAAUUAGGUCAUUUUUCAGACAGAAGACAAAAUUCAGACUGGAAGAAAUAAGGAGGACACAACUGAACCCUCCAAGUGCAAUGACAGGUUAAAACAAGAAGGCACCUGAUAACCAGGAGACAACUCACCUUCAGGAGAAAUGUCUGUGCCCUGCAUGAAACAGAUGAAAAAUAACGAUAGUAAGUGCUGUGUACAUAAUUAAAACAUUUAGUAAACAUGCAGAAAGUAACACAGAGUUAAAAAGAUUCAAAAGGUACUUCACUGCCACUGUACUUACCCUGGAACAUUAGAUGUGUCAUUAUUUCUAAUUAACUUUUGGACCAGAACCUGGACUGCAUACUCCUUUCUAACCCUAACUACUGAAGGGCUGGAACAACAGCUUGUUUUGUUAGAAAACAGAAUUAGAGGAAAUCGAUUCCCAGAAAAACUAGGCAGUAAAGCACGGUCUUGGGCGGGGGGUAGAGAGCCACAUCCUUCACUUGGGUUUCUUAAAAAAUGUUUUAAGAAUAAUUUCAGUUUUAGAGCUUAACACUGAAACUGAACUUUUGCUGCUGAAAGAUACAGGUUUAAUUCUUACACAGCAUCAUUUUCACAUAUUGAGGCCAACAUCAUGGGUAGUCAAAGAAUAUGUUUAAUAAAAAAUAAUUAAACUUCCAUUUGCUCUAUAGAACAUCAUAGAAAGUAAUUCAAUAAAUUACAAAUGACUUUUUAAGACGCUUGUUCAACUACAGAAAGCAAAUUCAGACUACACAGAACACAACUGGCAAAUAUUGCAAAUGUCCAAAAAAAACCUGGACUAAGACUUGGAUCAUGAAGCCUGAAACAAGGGAUAGAAAUACAAGGCAAUAACAGCUAAGGUUCUUUUAGUAACUACCAACACACACUUUAUCAUCACCUUGGAUAUCCUUUUAACUUCAGCAUUAGUGUAAUUCUACUGAGGUUUCCUUAUAACCCUUAACUUUAUACAACCGUAUUUGCAUAUAGUUUAGCUGAUAGUGGGACAUUUUUUUCCCCUUCUGGUUCAAACUGAUUAAAAAUAAACCAAAUAUAUUAUGUUCAAGUCUACACCAGCCUUCAUUACUUGGAACUGUAAUUGCCUUAUUACAUAGAAAGAAUCACUAGAAUGGUAACCAAACUCACUUGACCAUAAUUAGGAAAAUACUUUAUUUCAUAAAUCUGAUAUAAAUUAGGUUUUAGCCACAAGAUUUAGGAUUUGUUUUGUGGGGUAAGGGCGGGAAGUGAUGGUAUUGUUGAUAGACUCCAUCAGCGAGCUAAGUUAAUACCUGUUUGUAAAACUUUGGCUAUUUCAUAGAUGCAUCCUAGUUAAAUAAAAGUGCUAUAUUACAAAGGGCAAAAUAUUAAAUAUGAAAUACUUUUGUUUCAUGAUGAAGAAUUGCUACCCCCUUCUCUUGGCAGUUUUCAAUUUUCACUAUUGCUAAGACACUGCAUGAAGGGCCAAAAAUCAGAAUACUAUUUGGAAAAAGACGUAAC